rnacentral:rRNA from 1 species
CCUACGGGAGGCAGCAGUGGGGAAUAUUGGGCAAUGGGCGAAAGCCUGAUSCAGCCAUGCCGCGUGAGUGAUGAAGGUCUUAGGGUUGUAAACUCUUUCACCGGGGAAGAUAAUGACGGUACCCGGAGAAGAAGCCCCGGCUAACUUCGUGCCAGCAGCCGCGGUAAU